UUGAAACUGGUGGAUGAUUGAUAAAUCUUGAACUUGUAUUAAAAUAACCCGUACAGUCUUUUCAAACAAGCUGCUGAUCACCUGCAUUACAUAGUAACAAAAUUGUACAGAACAGAAUUCUGAAACUUUGUUAGUACUCGAAAACAUGCUCGAUAACUGGUUACUGGCACCCUGCAAUCUUACGUUAUUAUGAAUAUCCAAACAAAAAUUGUGGCCUUCAGCAGUUAAUGGCACUAGCAUUCUUGCUCCCCAUUUAGUUGUGCCAAUAUCCACUAAUGACAUGGCAUUGCCCUUUGGUAAGUUUACAGAAAUGAUUAAUCUGAGGGAAAAUAAUUUUACAAAAAAUAUGAGAAUGGUUGUUUAUGAAAAUAGUAAUUUCAGCAUUAUUACAUAGUGAACAGUGACUUGUUUUUAUGUUGUAAAAACUUAUACAAUUUCUUGCUGUUUUUAAACAAUGAAAUAGUUGGACUUUGUUCAAGGAAUUUACGUUUUUCCUUUGCAUUAUGCAUGUGCAUAAUAACAUGUUGAUGAUUGUUACAGAAUUGAAUUAAGUGCUUAUUGAAAUAAAAAUCAAAAUAUCUCUUC
rnacentral:lncRNA from 1 species